rnacentral:rRNA from 1 species
CUCGUAGGUGGCCAACUAAGUCAGACGUGAAAUCCCUCGGCUUAACCGGGGAACUGCGUCUGAUACUGGAUGGCUUGAGUUUGGGAGAGGGAUGCGGAAUUCCAGGUGUAGCGGUGAAAUGCGUAGAUAUCUGGAGGAACACCGGUGGCGAAGGCGGCGUCCUGGACCAACACUGACACUGAGGAGCGAAAGCCAGGGAGCAAACG